UGAAAAUAAUUGAAAAAUAAAUUGGAAAAGGAAAUUAAAAAAAAACAAUAAAUGCAAAAAUGAGUUAAAAAAUUAAGAGAAAAAUGUAUGUGAUGGAUAAUAUUUUUCAUGACUUUGUAUAAAAAAAUUAGAUCAAAAUGAAUAAAUAUGAGUGAGAAGUUAAAUUGGAAAAUAAAUGAAAUAAAAGAAAAGAUUAUAAAAAGAAUUAAA
rnacentral:lncRNA from 1 species